UUUGCCAGGUUCGGCUUGCAUUCAAAAGGCCCAGACAGAGGCCUAAAGGCCUGGACCAAAACGGCCCAGUAUUGAAACAAGCAAAGUUACUCUGGUACCCGUUUAGAUUUCAGAUCGGACGGACAGGGGAGAAAAUUGUGGGGGUAGUUUUGUCAUUGUAUGUUUGGGAUUUGGGGAUACCGUCUGCUUCGUUCGAUGGGAUUGAGGAAGUGUUGUUGCAGACAAGGGUACGGCCUGCGGAUAGAGAAGAAGAGAGAGGGAAAGAAGGAGAAAUCUUGCAGACAGACAGAGGUGCAGCAAAGCAAGCAGCGGUAUGGGCUGCACUGAGAGAAGGAGAGAGAGAGAGAUAUGCUGAGUUUAAUUUUGGUGGUUCUGAUAUGGAGGAGAAGCUGCAGGAGCUUAUGAUCUUGCCGACUUAAGUACGGUCCUUCUUCAACUCAUAUAAACUUUCGAUCCAAUACUAGGACCACCCAAUGUUAGAAGUCUGGAUCCGUCAUUGCCACGAGGCGCUCGAAAGAUGUUCCUGGUUUUGAGCCUAAUCGGAAUCUGCCAAGGUCGGGGGAGGGGGGCACUUAUCCAGAUCUCCAGCGUUUUGGGAGUGGCUCAGAUUUCAUUUAGAUAUAUGUUAUCAAAGACAUGUUCCUUUGUAAACUUUUUCAGCGGUUUGUAAACUGAUAUGAUUUUUGUUUUGUUUGAAUAGAUAAUUAAGUCCUUGAAUGCAACUGUUGUUAGAACAUUA